CUCCCGGUGGCCAAGCUGGUUUAAGGCGCGAGACUGUAAUGGUAUAAAUUGGAAUCUUGAGAUCGGGCGUUCGACUCGCCCCCGGGAGA
rfam:Yarrowia lipolytica strain CLIB122 chromosome D complete sequence.